rnacentral:ncRNA from 1 species
UACCUGGUUGAUCCUGCCAGUAGUCAUAUGCUUGUCUCAAAGAUUAAGCCAUGCAAGUCUAAGUACGAGCUCUCGUACAGUGAAACUGCGAAUGGCUCAUUAAAUCAGUUAUGGUUCAUUUGAUCGUACAGUUUACUUGGAUAACUGUGGUAAUUCUAGAGCUAAUACAUGCGAGAAGCGCCGACCUCGCGGGAGGCGUGCAUUUAUCAGACCAAAAACCGGCCGCGUCUUCGGGCGCGUUCGCCUUGGUGACUCUGGAUAACUUUGCGGAUCGCACGGUCUAGCACCGGCGACGGAUCAUUCAAGUGUCUGCCCUAUCAACUUUCGUCGGUACGGUAUUUGCCUACCGAAGUUCUUACGGGUGACGGGGAAUC